AGAGUUUGAUCCUGGCUCAGAUUGAACGCUGGCGGAAUGCUUACACAUGCAAGUCGAACGGCAGGCACGGGGCAACCUGGUGGCGAGUGGCGAACGGGUGAGUAAUACAUCGGAACGUGCCCAAUCGUGGGGGAUAACGUAGCGAAAGUUACGCUAAUACCGCAUACGAUCUACGGAUGAAAGCGGGGGAUCGCAAGACCUCGCGCGAAUGGAGCGGCCGAUGUCAGAUUAGGUAGUUGGUGGGGUAAAGGCUCACCAAGCCGACGAUCUGUAGCUGGUCUGAGAGGACGACCAGCCACACUGGGACUGAGACACGGCCCAGACUCCUACGGGAGGCAGCAGUGGGGAAUUUUGGACAAUGGGCGCAAGCCUGAUCCAGCCAUUCCGCGUGCAGGAUGAAGGCCUUCGGGUUGUAAACUGCUUUUGUACGGAACGAAACGGUUCUCUCUAAUACAGGGGGCUAGUGACGGUACCGUAAGAAUAAGCACCGGCUAACUACGUG
rnacentral:rRNA from 1 species